UACGUAGGGGGCAAGCGUUGUCCGGAAUCAUUGGGCGUAAAGAGCGUGUAGGCGGCUCGAUAAGUCUGUUCUGAAAGUCCAGGGCUCAACCCUGGGAUGCGGAUGGAUACUGUCGAGCUCGAGUCCGGAAGAGGCGAGUGGAAUUUCUGGUGUAGCGGUGAAAUGCGCAGAUAUCAGGAGGAACACCAAUGGCGAAGGCAGCUCGCUGGGACGUGACUGACGCUGAGACGCGAAAGCGUGGGGAGCAAACAGG
rnacentral:rRNA from 1 species